rfam:Drosophila virilis strain TSC#15010-1051.87 Ctg01_14987, whole genome shotgun sequence.
CGAAUAAGUGAAUAAAGAGAGCUGUCCGUCGACAGUCCAGUAACAAAUGUAAUACUGUCAUGGAAUUGCUCUCUUUGUAUGAUAUUCG